AGUGAACGCUGGCGGUAGGCCUAACACAUGCAAGUCGAACGGCAGCACAGUAAGAGCUUGCUCUUACGGGUGGCGAGUGGCGGACGGGUGAGGAAUACAUCGGAAUCUACUUUUUCGUGGGGGAUAACGUAGGGUAACUUACGCUAAUACCGCAUACGACCUACGGGUGAAAGCAGGGGAUCUUCGGACCUUGCGCGAUUGAAUGAGCCGAUGUCGGAUUAGCUAGUUGGCGGGGUAAAGGCCCACCAAGGCGACGAUCCGUAGCUGGUCUGGGAGGAUGAUCAGCCACACUGGAACUGAGACACGGUCCAGACUCCUACGGGAGGCAGCAGUGGGGAAUAUUGGACAAUGGGCGCAAGCCUGAUCCAGCCAUACCGCGUGGGUGAAGAAGGCCUUCGGGUUGUAAAGCCCUUUUGUUGGGAAAGAAAAGCAGCAGGUUAAUACCCCGCUGUUCUGACGGUACCCAAAGAAUAAGCACCGGCUAACUUCGUG
rnacentral:rRNA from 1 species